rnacentral:rRNA from 1 species
UGAACGCUAGCUACAGGCUUAACACAUGCAAGUCGAGGGGCAGCAUUUCAUUUUGCUUGCAAAGUGAAGAUGGCGACCGGCGCACGGGUGAGUAACACGUAUCCAACCUGCCGAUAACUCGGGGAUAGCCUUUCGAAAGAAAGAUUAAUAUCCGAUAGCAUAUCAAUCCCGCAUGAGAUUGAUAUUAAAGAAUUUCGGUUAUCGAUGGGGAUGCGUUCCAUUAGUUUGUUGGCGGGGUAACGGCCCACCAAGACUACGAUGGAUAGGGGUUCUGAGAGGAAGGUCCCCCACAUUGGAACUGAGACACGGUCCAAACUCCUACGGGAGGCAGCAGUGAGGAAUAUUGGUCAAUGGACGUAAGUCUGAACCAGCCAAGUAGCGUGAAGGAUGACUGCCCUAUGGGUUGUAAACUUCUUUUAUAUGGGAAUAAAGUAUUCCACGUGUGGGAUUUUGUAUGUACCAUAUGAAUAAGGAUCGGCUAACUCCGUGCCAGCAGCCGCGGUAAUACGGAGGAUCCGAGCGUUAUCCGGAUUUAUUGGGUUUAAAGGGAGCGUAGGUGGAUUGUUAAGUCAGUUGUGAAAGUUUGCGGCUCAACCGUAAAAUUGCAGUUGAAACUGGCAGUCCUUGAGUACAGUAGAGGUGGGCGGAAUUCGUGGUGUACCGGUGAAAUGCUUAGAUAUCACGAAGAACUCCGAUUGCGAAGGCCGCUCACUAGACUGUCACUGACACUGAUGCUCGAAGGGUGGGUAUCAAAACAAGAUUAGAUACCCUGGUAGUCCACACAGUAAACGAUGAAUACUCCGCUGUUUGCGAUAUACAGUAAGCGGCCAAGCGAAAGCAUUAAGUAUUCCACCUGGGGAGUACGCGGGCAACGGUGAAACUCAAAGGAAUUGACGGGGGCCCGCACAAGCGGAGGAACAUGUGGUUUAAUUCGAUGAUACGCGAGGAACCUUACCCGGGCUUAAAUUGCAUUUGAAUAUGUAGGAAACUAUAUAGCCGCAAGGCAAAUGUGAAGGUGCUGCAUGGUUGUCGUCAGCUCGUGCCGUGAGGUGUCGGCUUAAGUGCCAUAACGAGCGCAACUCUUAUCUUCAGUUACUAACAGGUCAUGCUGAGGACUCUGGAGAGACUGCCGUCGUAAGAUGUGAGGAAGGUGGGGAGGACGUCAAAUCAGCACGGCCCUUACGUCCGGGGCUACACACGUGUUACAAUGGGGGGUACAGAAGGCAGCCACCUGGUGACAGGAUGCUAAUCCCAAAAACCUCUCUCAGUUCGGAUCGAAGUCUGCAACCCGACUUCGUGAAGCUGGAUUCGCUAGUAAUCGCGCAUCAGCCAUGGCGCGGUGAAUACGUUCCCGGGCCUUGUACACACCGCCCGUCAAGCCAUGAAAGCCGGGGGUACAAUGAAGUACGUAACCGCAAGGAGCGUCCUAGG